GUGAGGAAUUUUCCGCAAUGGGCGAAAGCCUGACGGAGCAAUGCCGCGUGAAGGAUGAAGGCCUAUGGGUUGUAAACUUCUUUUCUCAGAAAAGAAUUAUGACGGUAUCUGAGGAAUAAGCAUCGGCUAACUCUGUGCCAGCAGCCGCGGUAAGACAGAGGAUGCAAGCGUUAUCCGGAAUGAUUGGGCGUAAAGCGUCUGUAGGUUGUUUAAAAAGUAUUCUGUCAAAGAUUAGGGCUUAACCCUAGAUAGGCAGAAUAAACUUUUAAGCUAGAGUUUGGUAGAGGCAGAGGGAAUUCCCGGUGGAGCGGUGAAAUGCGUAGAUAUCGGGAGGAACACCAAAGGCGAAGGCACUCUGCUGGGCCAAUACUAACACUGAGAGACGAAAGCGAGGGGAGCAAAUGGGAUUAGAACCCCGAGUAGUCC
rnacentral:rRNA from 1 species